rnacentral:rRNA from 1 species
GACGAACGCUGGCGGCGUGCUUAACACAUGCAAGUCGAACGGAAAGACCCGGAUUUUGUUGCGUGCUCGUGUGGCGCACGGGUGAGUAACACGUGAGUAUACUGCACUUGACUUUCGGAUAACUUCACGAAACUCCGGCUAAUACCGGAGAGGAGAUCCUGCUGCACGUUGUGCAUUGGUAAGUUUCGGCGGUUCGGGAUCGACUCGCGGCUUCUCAGCUACUUUGUGGGGUAGUGGAUGACCAAGGCUGCGAAGGAUAGCCGGCCUGAGAGGGUGACCGGCCACAUUGGUACUACGAUACGGCGCAGACUCGUACGGUAGGCAGCAGUCGGAAACAUUGCACAACGGGCGGAAGCCUGAUGUAAAAACGCUGCGUGCGGGAUGACGUGUUACGGGGUAAAAACCGCUUUGGCAUUUGACGAAGCGUGAGUGACGGUAACGGGUCAGGAAGCACCGGCUAACUACGUG